UACAGAGGUCCCAAGCGUUGUUCGAAUUCACUGGGCUUAAAGGGCUCGUAGGCUGCCGUAUGUGUCUGCAGUGAAAUCCCCCGGCUCAACCGGGGAACGGCUGUGGAAACUAUGCGGCUCGAGGACAGGAGAGGCGGGCGGAAUUCCCGGUGGAGCGGUGAAAUGCGUAGAUAUCGGGAGGAACGCCAGAGGCGAAAGCGGCCCGCUGGUCUGUCCCUGACGCUGAGGAGCGAAAGCCAGGGGAGCAAACGGG
rnacentral:rRNA from 1 species